UGAGUAUAAAAUGAACGCUAAUCUCAGGAAGAUUAAUAUCUUUAUGUAUCUUUGAUCGGAAGAAGAUUCUUCGAUUUACAUCCUCUAUAACGUAUUCAUUAUUAAAGCCCAAGGGCCAUCGAGAACGAGAAAGACCAUUUUUAUUUUCCCAAAUUGCUUCUGGAAGGCCUAUGUAUUCCGCAUCAAUAUAAUGUAAUAUAUCUCUACUUAUAUGGAUAGGUGUUUGUGUAGGAUUCGCGUAUAGAUCCGGCGGUGCCGUAUGGAAGGGCCGACCCUCAACGGAUAAAAGCUACCCUGGGGAUAACAGGCUUAUCUCCCCCAAGAGUCCACAUCGAAGGGAGGUUUGGCACAUCGAUGUCGGCUCAUCGCAUCCUGGGCUGAAGUAGGUCCCAAGGGUUGGGCUGUUCGCCCAUAAAGCGGUACGCGAGCUGGGUUCAGAACGUCGUGAGACAGUUCGGUCCCUAUCUGUCGUGGGCGUAGGAAAUUUGAGAGGAGCUGUCCUUAGUACGAGAGGACCGGGAUGGACAAACCGCUGGUGUACCAGUUGUUCCGCCAGGAGCAUAGCUGGGUAGCCAAGUUUGGAAGGGAUAAGCGCUGAAAGCAUCUAAGCGCAAAGCCCCCCUCAAGAUAAGAUUUCCCAUAGCAUAAGCUAGUAAGACCCGUGUAAGCAUAGUGAUAUGUUAAGCGGACAGAUACUAAUC
rnacentral:ncRNA from 1 species